CCUAGAAACGCAUGCAAUAAGACAUUUCAUAUACAAGUGAUCAAUUAGAUUAUAUUAGAUAAAAAUAAGGCAAUUUGCAAAGUCAAGCUAUUUAGUCAUAACCAGGAUUAAUUGUCUUUCGUGAGGUGCUAACAUCGAAAUUUAAAAAUUUUCAAUUCAGUUCGUUCAGAAAAGUUCGUUUUGUUAGCAGAGAAAAAGGAGUUCAGCUGCUUCAGCGCAUUUAACUAUUCGAAUUAGUCCGAUUUCGCUUGGAUUGCUUUUAUUGUAAAUUUUGCAAAAUGGUCGCUUCAUUAAAUGCUUGCCAGAACGGCAUAGUAAGUUCCGCAGCCGGGGGCGCCGCUAAUGGAGUAAUCACCAAUGGCACAGUCAAUGCAACCAAUGUGAGCAAGACUUUGGCUAAAGGCAAGUACACUUUGGUAGGAAUCGAUAUUGACACAACGGGACGUCGUCUCAUCGAUGAAAUUGUCCAGUUGGCCGCAUAUACCCCAAAAGAUCAUUUUGAACAAUAUAUUAUGCCAUACAUGAACUUGAAUCCUGCCGCUCGUCAACGUCAUCAAGUACGUGUGAUCUCAAUUGGGUUCUAUCGUAUGCUGAAAUCAAUGCAAACAUAUAAGAUUAUCAAGUCCAAAUCGGAAAUCGCUGCCUUGAAAGAUUUUCUUGAUUGGCUGGAAGCGCUUAAAGCCAAAGAUGCAACAUCGCAAGGUAUCAUUCUAGUCUAUCAUGAGGAACGCAAAUUCAUUCCAUAUAUGAUUUUGGAGUCGCUUAAAAAGUACAAUCUGCUGGAUAGAUUCCUCAACACUGUCAAAUCUUUCGCUAACGGUUUUAAUUUGGCCAAAGACAAUGCCAACGAAUCAUUGCAACACUAUACAUUGCGCAAACUGUCCAAAGUCCUGAGCGCCAAAACACUCGAGAUCAACAAUAAUGCUUCCGAUGGCGGAGCAAACCAGAAUAUAAGCUCAACGACUGUGACAGCCGAGAGCCAGAGCCCUCAAAAGUCGUUAAAUAAGGGCGCUCCAGCACAGGAGCGUGAGUUGUUUGACGGCAAUGCUAGUGUGCGUGCUAAACUGGCAUAUGAAGUAGCACUACAGUUAAGCAAUCAAGAACAAAAGGUGCCCAUUGAUUCGCCUGCUGCAUUGGAGCAGAUGCUCACCGCCUUGCAAGCGUAUGCACAACCCAUCGAAUGCGAUUUGAAUGAACUACAGACUCAAAAUGAGAAUUUAGAGCGUCAAAAUUCAUUCCGACCGGUGUUUUUGAACUAUUUCAAAACAACACUCUACCAUCGGGUGCGUGCUGUCAAAUUUCGCAUUAUACUUGCCGAACAGCGCUAUGACCUGCAAACACUAAAUGCAAUUUGGAGUGAGAAACAGAAAGAGGGUAUCUCCGAAAUACUGCAAGUCAUUGAGGAGCUUAAGGCAGAAGAUAAGGCGGAGUUGGCCGAUUUAUUUGACAGUUACUUCGAUCCAGCAAAAACGACUAUUAAGCCGAUUGUUAAGAACAAUAAUCGUCGCCGAAAUAGACGCGGAGUACGCAACAUUAAAAACGACGGUGGCAAUAGUGCUCGACCAUGUAGCGAACAAGGCGCAGGCGGCGACAAACAAGUCGCAGCCGGGUUGCUUCCCGAUUCCACAACUAAGUCUUCAUCUCCGCCUAACGGUGGCAAGCCUCAGCGCGGUAAGCGUAACCCCCGCUCCCGUAAUAACUCCUUAAAAGCACAGCUACAAAGCGCCGUCGACACAAUCAACAUAACGGCAGCAGUAACCAAUUAAGCAUCAAUGUUGAUAGAAAUGAGUUCUACACAGACGCUGUUGCAACAAAAAAUUUUCGCUCAAAUUUAAUACAAAAUAAGCUUCAUUUGCAACAAAGAUUUGACUGGUGCAUUGCAGUUUGUGUUAAAUUAAAAACAUAUCAACUUACUAAAUAUAAUCGAGGAGUUACGUGGAAGUAAAUAGAAGAGAGUGGGUUCCGUAAACUCCUUGCUCAAAAUUUCUGUGAAUAAAAAAUUUAAAAUGUGCGUUUAGGUUAAUCACCAAAUUUUUACGAAAAAUGAAAUGAAAGAAGCUCGACUUUUGAAAUGCAGCAACAUCUCAAAUGUAUAUAUAUUGAGUUUGUGAGAUUUUGCGAAAAGUCAAAGAAAGGAGACUCAAUAUUCAUUCUUAUAUAUAUUGAGUUCGUGAGAUUUAUGCUUUCAAUGCCAGUGAACAGGAUAGAUAUGCCGCAGCAAUGCAUGUGAAAUUAUUGAAAUAAAUAUUGAAUUUAUAUACAUACAUAUAUAUGAGAUCAUCCAAAGAAACGUGAUCAAAUCGAAGUAAGUUAAGAGCAACCAUUUGGUCGCGCUUUGAAGUCAACAUAUACCGUCUAAUCAAAUUGGGAUUCGCAACAAGCAGUUGCCUAUCAUCUAUGCUUGCUGAGUAUCGUUUAGCCACCAGCUGUGGAGAUGGGAGAAUAUUUUCGUUUUUAGUUUAAUGCAGACCUCAUUUAGUUGAAAAACGCGAGGAACCAAAAAUACGACUGAUAUAUUGUUAAAACAUAUAGCAUAUAUUAUUGAGAACAAUAAUGGGUAGUUACCAUAUAAUUGUUACUUUUACGCUUACAACAUUGUUCGAAAAUCAAGGGAUCUUGAAGCUGAUUCUUAAAAGACCUGCUCAAAUGCUUCAGUAGAACCAUAUCGGCACGCGCCUGAUUUCAUUUACAUUUUACUUCAAAUGAGCUUCAUGCACAAAAAUGAAAAAAAAAAUAAAA
rnacentral:misc_RNA from 1 species